rnacentral:rRNA from 1 species
UACAGAGGUCCCAAGCGUUGUUCGGAUUCACUGGGCGUAAAGGGUGCGUAGGCGGUCGGGUAAGUCUGAUGUGAAAUCUCACAGCUUAACUGUGAAACUGCAUUGGAUACUAUCCGGCUUGAGGAAUGGAGGGGAGACUGGAAUACUUGGUGUAGCAGUGAAAUGCGUAGAUAUCUGCAGGAACACCCGUGGCGAAAGCGGCGCGCUGGACCACUACUGACGCUGAGGAACGAAAGCUAGGGGAGCAAACAGG